rnacentral:rRNA from 1 species
UACGUAGGGUGCAAGCGUUGUCCGGAAUUAUUGGGCGUAAAGAGCUUGUAGGCGGUUUGUCGCGUCUGCUGUGAAAUUUCGGGGCUCAACCCCGAACUUGCAGUGGGUACGGGCAGACUAGAGUGUGGUAGGGGGAGACUGGAAUUCCUGGUGUAGCGGUGAAAUGCGCAGAUAUCAGGAGGAACACCGAUGGCGAAGGCAGGUCUCUGGGCCAUAACUGACGCUGAGAAGCGAAAGCAUGGGGAGCGAAACAGG